rnacentral:rRNA from 1 species
GACGAACGCUGGCGGCGUGCUUAACACAUGCAAGUCGAACGGAAAGGCCCUGCUUUUGUGGGGUGCUCGAGUGGCGAACGGGUGAGUAACACGUGAGUAACCUGCCCUUGACUUUGGGAUAACUUCAGGAAACUGGGGCUAACACCGGAUAGGAGCUCCUGCUGCAUGGUGGGGGUUGGAAAGUUUCGGCGGUUGGGGAUGGACUCGCGGCUUAUCAGCUUGUUGGUGGGGUAGUGGCUUACCAAGGCUUUGACGGGUAGCCGGCCUGAGAGGGUGACCGGCCACAUUGGGAUUGAGAUACGGCCCAGACUCCUACGGGAGGCAGCAGUGGGGAAUAUUGCACAAUGGGCGGAAGCCUGAUGCAGCAACGCCGCGUGCGGGAUGACGGCCUUCGGGUUGUAAACCGCUUUCGCCUGUGACGAAGCGUGAGUGACGGUAAUGGGUAAAGAAGCACCGGCUAACUACGU